GAAUGUGAGGGUGAUCUGGCUGUGACAUCUGUCACCCAACUGAUUGCCAGGGUUGAUGCAGCUGAUCUGACUGAUGAGGCAAGUGUCCCCUUCCUCCCUCAAGGCUCCAUAUAUGUCCCUCCGGAAGCCUUUUGCCCUGUUGAAGAGGAUGACCACCUCCAACAGAAGAGGACCAUUUCCUAGGUCAAGGGUAUAUGUGUAGCUGUGCUCCUCUGUUAGAACCUCCAAACAAGCUCUCAAUCAAAGCAGCUCUACAAGGCCACAGUGUGAUGCAAUACACUUGGAAAAUAAAGGUUUAGUGGAGUCUGUAUUCUU
rnacentral:snRNA from 1 species